GUCUCUAUAGCUCAAUAGGUAGAGCGCAGUACUGUUAAUACUGAGAGUAGAUGUUCGAUUCAUCUUAGAGGCG